rnacentral:lncRNA from 1 species
AUCGGUAGCCUUUUACCAAUGAGGAAUCGGCCGAUUAGGAGGAUGGGUUAAUUGGGCCUGCAUGGGCUUGGAAAGGAAUAAAGGGAUGAGGUGGAGAUCAGCCCAUGAAGCGUGGAGUAACCAACCUAGCACGAAUCGUGCUUGUAGAUAUUCGUUUUCUGUUUGAAUUAGGGAUAGAAUUCUAGUCGGUUAAGAAGUUAUCUGUACGGGGCUAUAAAUAGCUACCUUUGUAAAUCUGUAAUCAUCAACCAAUCAA